rnacentral:rRNA from 1 species
UGGGGAAUCUUGCACAAUGGGGGAAACCCUGAUGCAGCGACGCCGCGUGAGCGAUGAAGCCCUUCGGGGUGUAAAGCUCUUUCGGCAGGGAAGAUUAUGACGGUACCUGCAGAAGCAGCUGCGGCUAACUACGUGCCAGCAGCCGCGGUAAUACGUAGGCAGCAAGCGUUGUUCGGAGUUACUGGGCGUAAAGGGUGCGUAGGCGGCCUUAUAAGUAUGGUGUGAAAUCUCCCGGCUUAACUGGGAGGGUGCGCUAUAGACUGUGGGGCUAGAGUGUGGGAGAGGAAAGUGGAAUUCCUGGUGUAGCGGUGAAAUGCGUAGAUAUCAGGAGGAACACCGGUGGUGUAAACGGCUUUCUGGACCAUAACUGACGCUGAGGCACGAAAGCGUGGGUAGCAAACA